GAUGAACGCUGGCGGCGUGCCUAAUACAUGCAAGUCGAGCGAACUGACGAGAAGCUUGCUUCUCUGAUGUUAGCGGCGGACGGGUGAGUAACACGUGGAUAACCUACCUAUAAGACUGGGAUAACUUCGGGAAACCGGAGCUAAUACCGGAUAAUAUUUUGAACCGCAUGGUUCAAAAGUGAAAGACGGUCUUGCUGUCACUUAUAGAUGGAUCCGCGCUGCAUUAGCUAGUUGGUAAGGUAACGGCUUACCAAGGCAACGAUGCAUAGCCGACCUGAGAGGGGGAUCGGCCACACUGGAACUGAGACACGGUCCAGACUCCUACGGGAGGCAGCAGUAGGGAAUCUUCCGCAAUGGGCGAAAGCCUGACGGAGCAACGCCGCGUGAGUGAUGAAGGUCUUCGGAUCGUAAAACUCUGUUAUUAGGGAAGAACAUAUGUGUAAGUAACUGUGCACAUCUUGACGGUACCUAAUCAGAAAGCCACGGCUAACUACGUG
rnacentral:rRNA from 1 species